rnacentral:tRNA from 1 species
UGCGGGGUCGUCUAACCGGCAGGACAGCGGACUCUGGAUCCGCCAGUGGAGGUUCGACCCCUCCCCCCGCAGCCA